rnacentral:rRNA from 1 species
AUGCACGCUGGCGGCGUGCCUCAUACCUGCCAGUCGAGCGAACAGACGAGGAGCUUGCUCCUCUGACGUUAGCGGCGGACGGGUGAGUAACACGUGGAUAACCUACCUAUAAGACUGGGAUAACUUCGGGAAACCGGAGCUAAUACUGGAUAAUAUAUUGAACCGCAUGGUUCAAUAGUGAAAGACGGUUUUGCUGUCACUUAUAGAUGGAUCCGCGCCGCAUUAGCUAGUUGGUAAGGUAACGGCUUACCAAGGCAACGAUGCGUAGCCGACCUGAGAGGGUGAUCGGCCACACUGGAACUGAGACACGGUCCAGACUCCUACGGGAGGCAGCAGUAGGGAAUCUUCCGCAAUGGGCGAAAGCCUGACGGAGCAACGCCGCGUGAGUGAUGAAGGUCUUCGGAUCGUAAAACUCUGUUAUUAGGGAAGAACAAAUGUGUAAGUAACUAUGCACGUCUUGACGGUACCUAAUCAGAAAGCCACGGCUAACUACGUG